UACGAAGGGGGCUAGCGUUGCUCGGAAUCACUGGGCGUAAAGCGCACGUAGGCGGAUUGCUAAGUCAGGGGUGAAAUCCUGGAGCUCAACUCCAGAACUGCCUUUGAUACUGGCGACCUUGAGUCCGGGAGAGGUGAGUGGAACUGCGAGUGUAGAGGUGAAAUUCGUAGAUAUUCGCAAGAACACCGGUGGCGAAGGCGGCCCACUGGUCCGGU
rnacentral:rRNA from 1 species